UACGGAGGGUGCAAACGUUGCUCGGAAUCAUUGGGCGUAAAGCGCACGUAGGCGGUCUGAUAAGUCGGGUGUGAAAGCCCUCGGCUCAACCGAGGAAGUGCAUUCGAAACUAUCAGACUUGAGUAUGGAAGAGGGUCGCGGAAUUCCCGGUGUAGAGGUGAAAUUCGUAGAUAUCGGGAGGAACACCAGUGGCGAAGGCGGCGAUCUGGGUCGAUACUGACGCUGAGGUGCGAAAGCGUGGGGAGCAAACAGG
rnacentral:rRNA from 1 species